GUAUCUUUCUGCAGCUUCC
rnacentral:misc_RNA from 1 species